UAGCCUAGUAGUUAAGGUUAUGGAUCGCCAAUCCAGAGAUGGCGGGUUCGAUUCCCGU
rnacentral:tRNA from 1 species